GAAUGAUGGGAUGAGGAUAAGAGAGCUCCCUCUUCUGAAAUACACAUUGAGGAUGCUCGCUGGAAGAAUCGAACCAUUAACAAAUAUGCCACCACUGAGCCU